AGUUUCCACAGCACAGCACAAGCUGCUCAGAAAAAAACAUGCUGAAAUGAUAACCUCCAAGUUCUCAAUGCGCAAAACGAGCCCUUAGAAACUGCAGAAUGAAAAAUCACUGAAGGAAGAGGAUGGAUGCAAAGAUGAGAACUGAAAACAAAAGCUGAGAUUGGCAUGAUGCCUGCCCAGGGGCGUGUACCUCUCCGCAGAGAGCUGAAGAGAUCUGGGAUAGAAACUGCUCCAUUUUUCUGCACAACCCUUACACCAUCUGACAGAUUAUUUCUCAUUAUUACUAAAUUUGCUCUCACUGUCUGUCUCUCCUUCUCCCACUAGAAAUGAGGUCCAUGCAGUGGGGCCUUCCCUGGGUUUGGUUGUAAAUGUGGCCCUACCACCAAGAAGACUUUCCAGUUCACAGAAAAGACUUGGUAUUUGCCAAACGAACCAUGAAUAAGCUCCCUUUUCUUCAAGUGCAUCAACAAGCAAAUGCACCACAGAAACAGCAUGCUCAUCGAGAGAUUCAGCUGACCCUAAACUUUGCAUUGACUCACACUGCUGGCGUGAGAUCCAGAGACACCAAGCAGCCAGCCUUCUACGGAGGGGCCUCACCUGGCUUCGUUUGACUUUUCUGCUCUGGAAACACCUGUCGGAAUUCAAGGGUGAGGUAGCCACCAGCAGCUAAUGAAACAAAUGCCACUUGUUGAAGACUAGCUUCCCCCAGAGAGAGACUGAGAUGGAGGCCCAGGGAGUUUGCUGGAGACCUGCACCGGCCGUCUGGGUGUUGGGACCUUCCGAGUGGUCCCAUCAAGGCUGGGUCAGCACCCUUGUGCCUCUGCCCCUCCACUGCGCUGAGCCUCAGGAGGGAGGCUGCCUAGCCAGCAGUGUCACCUGGGCCAGGGGCUGCCAUCACAGCCAUCUACAGAGGGACCUCGGGGACGCUCAGCCCUGUAGCCCCAUCUUGGGGGUACACAGUGACUGUUCACCAGCGAUUCUAAAACUUCACAGUUUUAAAUUUGAUUAUGUCACACAAAAAUUUUGUUGCUUUUCAGAUAUAAUUAUAGUAAGAUUAAGUGGGACACUGUCCUGCAUGGAGUCAAUUAGCACUGAUUAAAUUGAGUGAAGAUACAGACCUCCUGCCACCUGCAUCCCUGUCCAGAUUUCUACAGAACUGCAGCAUGCCCACGAGCACUGUCUCUUCCUUGCUGAUUCUACACUGGGUUAAACCUCCUGACUCAGAGGCAGGACUAAUGCAGUUAUCGGUGAAACACUAAGUGAGGUGCUAGAUGCAGGUGCAUGAGGAGAGCCCGUGCUGCUCACAGAGGGGAGUCUGCAGCCUUUGUUUCCUUGAUCCCGUCUUUCUUUGUGCGGCCUGCAGCAAAGGCAUAAACAAAGGACUUUAAUAAAAUGGGAAAUGGGAUCGGACUUCAAUGUUGCCUCGACACAACUGUAAUUACAAUCUAAUUCUGCAGGUAAAAAAACUGAGGCUCACCAGGAAAAGCAACCCACUAAGGAGACAGUCUCAGAACACGCUGUAAGAUAGGCAGCCUUUCGGGAAACACCGGCCACUGUUCCUGAUGGGCUCUGAUCCUGUAGUGAGGAUGUGGAAUCCAGCAUGAAAGCUUUUUACAGCGGGAACUCACUCUCCAUAGGCGAAGCUGCGAUCUCCAUCAUUUUCUCUCCAUCCUCUGUGCAUGGCGGCAUCUGCUGCUCAGAAGCCGCCUCUCCUGAUCUUGCUGGAAUGAAAGAACCCAACUCCUUUUGUCGUCAACCCAAAAUAAGAGAAGAGAACAGCCACAGGUGGUGGUCAUGUUCCUUCCAACUCCACCAGGAGGCCAGGCCCACCAGUGGGUGCUAGGAAAAUUCACAGCGCCAACAGUAAACAUAACAUACCUUCCUGAUGGAAUUUCUUUUUGUGAUUCCCUUGUGUUUUAAAUUCUCCUGUUUGUAUUAAUUAUACUUGACCAACUUUCUAAUAUAAAAAGUUUAUAUCAUGCUCAGAAAUAAAUUAUUAAUGAUUACCAAAUAAAGCAAAUUACUAUUGUAUUUUCUAGGUAAGCAUGGAGUAUGUAAAUGCUAUUAUUAUCAUUACCCAAAUUAUUAACUAAGAUAACGAAGGCUUUAUUCUUGAGUUUUAAAUUCCUGGUUGAACAAACCUUGUUAUAUUUGACACUUCCUGUGAAGGCUUAAGAAAACACAGGACUGAGAAAGUGAUGUCUGUGGUCAUCAAGG
rnacentral:lncRNA from 10 species